UAUCAUGUUGAACAGAUUGUUG
rnacentral:miRNA from 1 species